CGUGGUCCCGGCCCCGCCCUUCCGGGCGGCCGGGGUUCAGCGGACCCGUCCCGCUAUGCCUUGCUCUUGGCUCCGGGCUGGGCGGAGGUUCGAGUCGGACCCGCUCUGCCCUCCUCUCCGUCUCCAGGGCCGCACGUGUCGCCGGAUCGCUCCAGUCCGGCGGCGGGGCUCACUCAGCUGCGUUCCUGUCGGUAACGAGCACAAGCUCGCAAAUAAGGACGCAGAGUGAAGGUGUUUAAAUCACACCUGUCACUCGGAGGAGGAAGGGACGGGGUAAGGGUAGGGACGUUAGGUGACACCGAGGACCCUCUUGUCUUCCAGACGCGCUGCUGGAAUCAGGCCACCGGUUCAGGUCUGAGCUCGAGGCAGUCAGGUAGCAGGAGGAUAUCCAAAACUUUAAACACCGUGCAGAGACGUCACACGGGAUUAAAACGCUGCCAGGCUGGAGAGUGUGUUGCUGCUGGCGGGGUCUGAUGAGCAGUCUUGAAAUCAAUGCAGCCGAGUAUGCAGCCCCAUGAGAUCAGGUAGUACUAGUGCUGUGUUUUGUCCACUAGGAAACCACCAGCCUUACAGCAGCGGCAGGAGCGUAGGAAGCAUUCUGUAAAUACUGGGUGAGCACUUGGAUAAAAGGAUAAAAGGCUGAAAGGAAGCACAUCACUCUAGUUUUAAGACUGCAAAGUACAUAUUUGAUUGCCUUAUUUUCUGAGGCUUUCUGAAUUGAUACACCUCCAGCUUAUAGGGUUGCCAAUUGCCGGGCAAACAGUCCAUGCAUAACAGCACAGCAGGUGACAGGAUCACGACCACAUUUCUGUAGAUUCCCUCAGCAAGGAGCACAAAUGACAGAUCAUUUAUUUCUUAGGCUCCUCAGACCCACAAGAUGACAGGAAGCACAGACAGCAGAUUCCUCUGUUGCUUGGCAUCAACUCCAAACCAAACUACCUCCAGGCAGCUUUGCUCUGCAGCUGUACCCCAAGGGAAACAAAAUGGAAAGUCCAGUAAAGACGGCAUCACAGUUGAUUCUACAAGAUUGAUUGUCUUCCUUUGUUUCCAGGGAGCCUCCGGCAUUCUGCCAAGACUCAGCUCAGGCUGCAACUCAGCCUUGGCCACAUGGCCAGUGUGGAAAUGUACAGAGCUGUUCCCUGCACUAAUGACCUCCCUUUUGCUAAAACCAGACAAAAUGGAAGAGAUUGCUGACAGCCGGCAACAGCAUGAAAGAAUCACAUUAUGUGGAGCUGGACCCGAAGAGCAUAUACUAUUUAUCUUCAUUUAGGCAGAGAGGUUCUGACGGACCCAGCCUGGGUCAGGGUCCUACAGUCCAGGCCAUCAGUCCCUGAUGCUGAGAUCCUCUGAGCCACCACGUUCUCAUCAUAGGACACUGGAACAGAUAACAUGAGAGGGGCCAGCCACUUUGGUCUGGACGUCCACCAAGCCUUUUCCAUACCCGUGCCUGUCUGAUGCUUUGGCCUCUUUCCCGCUUCAGCUGGACAGCUUUCACUCAUCACAGUAUUUUGCAAGUUCCCCUAUGUCCUAGCAUGCCAGUACUCCACUCUUCUUUGUUGCUGAAUGCUGUUCCAUUGAGGGGAUAGAACACAAUAUGCUCAUGCAUUUGCCAGCUGAUGUACAUUUGUGUUUUUAUAUCUUUGGUUAUUAUGAAUAAUGUUGCUAAGAUUUUUAUGCAAGAUUUUGUAUGAACAUAUCUUCAUUUUUCUUGUGCAUAUAACCAGGGAUGGAAUUGCUGGGCUAUAUAAAUAUUUCCAAGUUUUUUAAAAGUUAAAAAUUUUUUUUCCCAUUAUAGCUGGUUUACAGUGUUCUGUCAAUUUUCUACUGUACA